rnacentral:rRNA from 1 species
GUAGGUGGCAAGCGUUGUCCGGAAUUAUUGGGCGUAAAGCGCGCGCAGGCGGUUCUUUAAGUCUGAUGUGAAAGCCCACGGGCUCAACCGUGGAGGGUCAUUGGAAACUGGAGAACUUGAGUACAGAAGAGGAAAGCGGAAUUCCACGUGUAGCGGUGAAAUGCGUAGAGAUGUGGAGGAACACCAGUGGCGAAGGCGGCUUUCUAGUCUGUAACUGACGCUGAGGCGCGAAAGCGUGGGGAGCAAACAGGAUUAGAUACCCUGGUAGUCCACGCCGUAAACGACGAGUGCUAAGUGUUAGGGGGUUUCCGCCCCUUAGUGCUGCAGCUAACGCAUUAAGCACUCCGCCUGGGGAGUACGGCCGCAAAGGCUG